rnacentral:rRNA from 1 species
GAUGAACGCUGGCGGCGUGCCUAAUACAUGCAAGUCGAGCGAACAGACGAGGAGCUUGCUCCUCUGACGUUAGCGGCGGACGGGUGAGUAACACGUGGAUAACCUACCUAUAAGACUGGGAUAACUUCGGGAAACCGGAGCUAAUACCGGAUAAUAUAUUGAACCGCAUGGUUCAAUAGUGAAAGACGGUUUUGCUGUCACUUAUAGAUGGAUCCGCGCCGCAUUAGCUAGUUGGUAAGGUAACGGCUUACCAAGGCGACGAUGCGUAGCCGACCUGAGAGGGUGAUCGGCCACACUGGAACUGAGACACGGUCCAGACUCCUACGGGAGGCAGCAGUAGGGAAUCUUCCGCAAUGGGCGAAAGCCUGACGGAGCAACGCCGCGUGAGUGAUGAAGGUCUUCGGAUCGUAAAACCCUGUUAUUAGGGAGGAACAAAUGUGUAAGUAACUAUGCACGUCUUGACGGUACCUAAUCAGAAAGCCACGGCUAACUACGUG